CGGGCGGGGCGGAAGGCGGCGGCGGGCUGGCCGGGCCGGGGGCUGCCGGGAGCAUGGCUGCUAGGGAGGCGGGCGGCGCGGUGCUCGGCAGGUCCGCCGAGAAGCUGUUCUCUCUAAGCGGGUUGUUCGCGGUGUACAAGCCCAAAGGCCCCACCUCGGCCGGCGUGCUCAACCUCCUGAAGGAGAGGCUGCUCGCAGAAGCUGGUGUGCAAACAAAUGAGAACAAAAGAAACAAGGUUUUGAAAAUUGGACAUGGUGGAACUUUGGACAGUGCAGCAGCAGGAGUUCUGGUGGUUGGUAUUGGAAAAGGAACAAAAAUGCUGAGAACGAUGCUGGCGGGUUCCAAGAAGUACACUGCCAUUGGACUGCUGGGCAAAGCUACGGAUACAUUAGAUGCUACAGGAAAAGUAACUGAAGAAAAACCUUAUGUGUUUGUAACUAUGCACAGGAAUGUAUAUUCUGAAACCCACUUCCAGCUGCCUGCAGACGAUAUCCAGACAUGGAGAACAAAAUUCAUGAGGAUUUUCUGCAGGAUUUCUUCAGUAAAAUUGCCUUACUUAAUAUAUAACAAUAUCCUGGUAUGCAUUUUCAGACCAGAUAACAAAAGGAGAUCUGGAAAAUGUACUGCAAAAGUUCAUAGGGGACAUAAUGCAGGUUCCUCCACUUGGUCCCUUAGACACCCUAGAACAAGGCUACAGAACUUGGCAGUUGCUGUUCAGGGAAGACCCUGUUGUGAGCCGAGGAAAGGCGCAAGGCAGAAUUCCAGGGGUUGCCUGCACAACACUGACAGAGAGGACGCCCUGCAGACUGCUGAGAGACACUGGGGUAGAGGCAGCUGCAAGUGUUGGACCCCUUAUAGAAACACUUCGCGUUCAUAAACUACCACUAUUCUGCUUUGAAGAAGGAUGGAGAAAGGCUGUCAACUCUGAUGAAGAGAGGAGAAGCAGUCGAAGCAAAGCCUGCUCGGCCAGUACGAGUGUACAACCUCUGUCUCCAGCAGUUCCAGCCACCACUGUUCACGCUGGAUGUUGAAUGUGGUGGUGGCUUUUAUGUCAGGAGCCUGGUCAGUGACAUUGGCAAAGAACUCUCUACCUGUGCCACUAUGCAAGAGCUGACCCGAACCAAACAGGGGCCUUUCACGCUGGAGGAGCAUGCCCUUCAUGAAGACAAAUGGACAAUUGAUGAAAUUGCACGAUCCUUAGAGCAUUGCACGUCUCUUCUCCCGGCAGAGCCAUCUCAUAAAAAAUUGAAGACAGAGCAUCCUGGUGAAACUGCUGUUGGCUGUGAAGAUAAGUGAUAAGUUGGGUCAAGGAAAAAGACUGAAUGAUUGAGACAUUUUAAGAUUGGAUUUGGAUUGUCUUGCCUCCUGUGUAAAUUUACAAGUCUGUACUGGGAGGGUGACAGACUGCAGAGCAAGAAAAACGGUUCUUUUGUUUUCUGAGGUUAGAACAUGCACUGAAAAUAUCCAGCGCUUGCUGUUUCCUGAUCUGUUUGUUUUCCUUCUUGCACACUGUAAAUGAGUCUGCUACUGAUGUCAAGUCGUCAUAAACUUUUAAAGAACUUUCAGGGUGCCAUGCAGCUGUCGUUGCUGAUUCCUCAAUAAAAAAAAAAUUAUGAACCUUAAGGUUUGAUAAA